rnacentral:rRNA from 1 species
CCUACGGGGGGCAGCAGUGGGGAAUAUUGGACAAUGGGGGCAACCCUGAUCCAGCCAUGCCGCGUGUGUGAAGAAGGCCCUCGGGUUGUAAAGCACUUUCAGUGAGGAAGAACGCCUGGUGGUUAAUACCCAUCAGGAAAGACAUCACUCACAGAAGAAGCACCGGCUAACUCCGUGCCAGCAGCCGCGGUAAUACGGAGGGUGCGAGCGUUAAUCGGAAUUACUGGGCAUAAAGCGCGCGUAGGUGGCUUGAUAAGCCGGUUGUGAAAGCCCCGGGCUCAACCUGGGAACGGCAUCCGGAACUGUCAAGCUAGAGUGCAGGAGAGGAAGGUAGAAUUCCCGGUGUAGCGGUGAAAUGCGUAGAGAUCGGGAGGAAUACCAGUGGCGAAGGCGGCCUUCUGGACUGACACUGACACUGAGGUGCGAAAGCGUGGGUAGCAAACAGGAUUAGAUACCCUGGUAGUC